UACGUAGGUGGCAAGCGUUGUCCGGAAUUAUUGGGCGUAAAGCGCGCGCAGGCGGCCUUUUAAGUCUGAUGUGAAAGCCCUCGGCUCAACCGAGGAAGUGCGCCCGAAACUGCAGAGCUUGAGUACCGGAGAGGAUGGCGGAAUUCCCCAAGUAGAGGUGAAAUUCGUAGAUAUGGGGAGGAACACCGGUGGCGAAGGCGGCCAUCUGGACGGAUACUGACGCUGAGACGCGAAAGCGUGGGGAGCGAACAGG
rnacentral:rRNA from 1 species